GACGAACGCUGGCGGCGUGCCUAAUACAUGCAAGUCGAACGCAGUGGGGACGGGUGAGUAACACGUGGGUAACCUCCCAUCAGAGGGGAUAACACUUUGAAACAGGUGCUAAACCUAUACUGAUGGAUGGCCCCGCGGUUCAUUAGCUAGUGGGUGAGGUAACGGCUCACCAAGGCCACGAUGCAUAGCAGACCGGAGAGGGUGAGGGGCAACACUGGGACUGAGACACGGACCAGACUCCUACGGGAGGCAGCAGUAGGGAAUCUUCGGCAAGGGACGAAAGUCUGACCGAGCAACGCCGCGUGAGUGAAGAAGGUUUUCGGAUCGUAAAACUCUGUUGUUAGAGAAGCGGUAUCUAACCAGAAAGCCACGGCUAACUACGUGCCAGCAGCCGCGGUAAUUC
rnacentral:rRNA from 1 species